CUUCGGGGACAUUGGUGACAGGUGGUGCAUGGUUGUCGUCAGCUCGUGUCGUGAGAUGUUGGGUUAAGUCCCGCAACGAGCGCAACCCUUGUCUUUAGUUGCCAUCAUUAAGUUGGGCACUCUAGAGAGACUGCCAGGGAUAACCUGGAGGAAGGUGGGGAUGACGUCAAAUCAUCAUGCCCCUUAUGCUUAGGGCUACACACGUGCUACAAUGGGUAGUACAGAGGGUUGCCAAGCCGUAAGGUGGAGCUAAUCCCUUAAAGCUACUCUCAGUUCGGAUUGUAGGCUGAAACUCGCCUACAUGAAGCUGGAGUUACUAGUAAUCGCAGAUCAGAAUGCUGCGGUGAAUGCGUUCCCGGGUCUUGUACACACCGCCCGUCACACCACGGGAGUUGGAGACGCCCGAAGCCGAUUAUCUAACCUUUUGGAAGCAGUCGUCGAAGGUGGAAUCAAUAACUGGGGUGAAGUCGUAACAAGGUAGCCGGAUCGGGAGGUGCGGCUGGAUCACCUCCUUUCU
rnacentral:rRNA from 1 species